UGCUGUAUAGGUUGAAAGGUGUGUACUCCACGGUACCUACCAACAGCUAUCCAUGUAUUUACUGUAACGUAGAAGAACGAACGGUGGCCAUGCGGCAUUACACAGAGCAUACACACAAACCCCUAAAUCAUUACAUACUGUAGGAUAUGGAAUGGGAGAAAGAGUGGGAAUGGAUGUCCUUAUCAUGGUGGUCAGCUGUCUCAUCAGAUCCAGAGAAGCAAAUCCAGCUUAAUUCCCCCUCUCUCCUCUCAGCCCCACAGCAUGAGACCGAUCGAAUGAGGGAAGGAAUGGCAGGGGGAUGAGUGUGAGAUAAAGGAGUAGGAGAGUGAAAACAAUGGAUGGGGAAUGGACACAUACAGUUCCGUCCUCUCUGACUCUGGUCCCUGUCUCCAGUCCCUUGUGUCAUCAGUCCUGCUUCCCAGCCCCGGACCCGAACUCUACUGCUUCCUUGGAUUCCCGACCUGCUUACCCUGCCCCUACUCCCCUUGCCCCAGCAUCUGCCACAGUUCCUGGCUCCCGCUCCCUGCUACCCCCCCGAUCUUCUCCUGGCCUGCACCCCAUCUGACCCUGCUUUUCAAUAAAUACCUUAGUUACCUUA